rnacentral:lncRNA from 1 species
AGCUGCUUUUCGUCUGUCUUUGAGGUGUGGGGAUGAAGGCCGGGGCAGUCCCUGAGAGUGCAUCGCUGUAGGUCCAGGGUCUCACGGAAUUUUGCAGAACGUUCCAGAGGAGACUGAAUGGGAUCGUCUUAAUUUCUGUCCCCACUUUCGGCCUUUUCUUUUCUUCCACCAGUGUAUUACCUUUGCUCCGCUCAGAGAGAUGUCCUCUAAUAACGCCAGCGACGCAUUGUGCUCCUAGCAGAGGGCACGCACCACCCUCCUGUGUGUUCGCAUAGGUCAAAUACAGGUUUGCUCCUUUGCACAUUUAGCGCUAGUAGGCUCCCUGUGUUCCCAAACUCAGGAAACUCCAGGCAUUGGCAGCCCACUUGCGCAUUCUACAUCAGAUCCUGCCUCACUGGGAGUUGUGGCAGAGGAUGGCCAGACAGACACCAUGGACAGACACCAUGGAGAGGGGCAAUGAACAAAGCUUCAUCUUCUACACACAGAACCAUCUCCUCUUCCCAGUAAAUACAGAAGACAAGACAGAGAGGAGCACAGGAAGGAAGAAGAGCCCCUGGGGAAGCAGUCCAGUCUCUGCAGUUUCCCUCACUGGGGCAGAGGGGCCACCCUCCUUUCUUGUUCCCCAGGAGGCUCCUGGCCGACUUUUCAGGAUUUCACCCAGACUGGAGUGCA